rnacentral:rRNA from 1 species
UACAGAGGGUACGAGCAUUAAUCGGAAUUACUGGGCGUAAAGCGCGCGUAGGCGGCUUUGCAAGUCGGGUGUGAAAUCCCCAGGCUUAACCUGGGAACUGCAUUCGAGACUGCAUUGCUAGAGUAUGGGAGAGGGAAGUGGAAUUCCGGGUGUAGCGGUGAAAUGCGUAGAUAUCCGGAGGAACACCGAUGGCGAAGGCAGGUCUCUGGGCAUUAACUGACGCUGAGGAGCGAAAGCAUGGGGAGCGAACAGG